rnacentral:ncRNA from 1 species
UAGUCUUUGGCCUGUCGCUGCAAAUUCAGUGACAGGGCGUAGGAACCCUUUUA